rnacentral:rRNA from 1 species
UACAGAGGGGGCAAGCGUUAUUCGGAAUUAUUGGGCGUAAAGGGCGCGUAGGCGGCUUUUCAAGUGACGGGUGAAAGCCCUCGGCUUAACCGAGGAACUGCCUGUCAGACUGGAAGGCUUGAGACCGGGAGAGGUGAGUGGAAUUCCCAGUGUAGCGGUGAAAUGCGUAGAUAUUGGGAGGAACACCAGUGGCGAAGGCGGCUCUCUGGGACGGUACUGACGCUGAGACGCGGAAAGCGUGGGGAGCGAACAGG